rnacentral:rRNA from 1 species
CGGACUCCGUUGGUGACCAGCGGAGGGUCAUUACCGAGUUUACAACUCCCAAACCCAAUGUGAACCAUACCAAACUGUUGCCUCGGCGGGGUCACGCCCCGGGUGCGUCGCAGCCCCGGAACCAGGCGCCCGCCGGAGGGACCAACCAAACUCUUUUCUGUAGUCCCCUCGCGGACGUUAUUUCUUACAGCUCUGAGCAAGAAUUCAAAAUGAAUCAAAACUUUCAACAACGGAUCUCUUGGUUCUGGCAUCGAUGAAGAACGCAGCGAAAUGCGAUAAGUAAUGUGAAUUGCAGAAUUCAGUGAAUCAUCGAAUCUUUGAACGCACAUUGCGCCCGCCAGUAUUCUGGCGGGCAUGCCUGUCCGAGCGUCAUUUCAACCCUCGAACCCCUCCGGGGGGUCGGCGUUGGGGACCUCGGGAGCCCCUAAGACGGGAUCCCGGCCCCGAAAUACAGUGGCGGUCUCGCCGCAGCCUCUCCUGCGCAGUAGUUUGCACAACUCGCACCGGGAGCGCGGCGCGUCCACGUCCGUAAAACACCCAACUUUCUGAAAUGUUGACCUCGGAUCAGGUAGGAAUACCCGCUGAACUUAAGCAUAUCAAA